GGGAAAAAGAGACCCAUCCAUGGUAACACCUGAGGUGCAGCUUGAACAAGCCCAUGAAUCCCCAACUUGUCCUUAGUGCAACAGGUUUCAUGACAUCUACCUUCAAUCACGCUUCAUCCAUCACACCUGUUGUGUGUCUGUGUAACUACAGGGAAGCAAAGGUUUUUCAUCACAGCACCUCAAGGUGGCAGAGUGGCCUCUCAGCCUGGACAGGCGAACACGCUUCCUCGGUGAUGCUGGAGACUCCAGAGAGAAGGCAGUAGGAGAGACGGGACGGGACUCAGGGAUGUACUCUGUCUGAUACUUGUCGAU